AUUGAACGCUGGCGGCAUGCCUAACACAUGCAAGUCGAACGGAAACAGGUCUCUUGCUCCUGACUUCUGCGGAGGGCGGGUGAGAUACACCUAGGAAUCUCCGUGCUAGGGGGGGAUCACGGCCGAAACUUUGCGCUUAUACCACAUACGCUCUGGAUGAGAACGGGGGGGAUCUUCGGACUUCACGCUCUCAGAUGACCCUAGGUCGGAUUAGCUAGUUGGUGGGAUAAAGGCCUACCAAGGCGACGAUCCGUAACUGGUCUGAGAGGAUGAUCAGUCACACUGGAACUGAGACACGGUCCAGACUCCUACGGGAGGCAGCAGUGGGGAAUAUUGGACAAUGGGCGAAAGCCUGAUCCAGCCAUGCCGCGUGUGUGAAGAAGGCCUUCGGAUUGUAAACUACUUUAAGUUGGGAGGAAAGGACGUAAGCUAAUAACGUGCUGUUUUGACGUUACCGAAAGAAUAAGCACCGGCUAACUACGUG
rnacentral:rRNA from 1 species